AUUGAACGCUGGCGGCAGGCCUAACACAUGCAAGUCGAACGAGCGGCGGACGGGUGAGUAAUGUAUGGGAAACUGCCCGAUGGAGGGGGAUAACUACUGGAAACGGUGGCUAAUACCGCAUACCAUCGGAUGUGCCCAGAUGGGAUUAGCUAGUAGGUGGGGUAACGGCUCACCUAGGCGACGAUCCCUAGCGGGUCUGAGAGGAUGACCAGCCACACUGGAACUGAGACACGGCCCAGACUCCUACGGGAGGCAGCAGUGGGGAAUAUUGCACAAUGGGCGCAAGCCUUAUGCAGCCAUGCCGCGUGUAUGAAGAAGGCCUUAGGGUUGUAAAGUACUUUCAGCGGGGAGGCGUUACCCGCAGAAGAAGCACCGGCUAACUCCGUGCCAGCAGCCGCGGUAAUUC
rnacentral:rRNA from 1 species